UAGAAAUUGACAGAUAUGCAAAAAUAAAGGG
rnacentral:piRNA from 1 species